GGAUUAGAUACCCUGGUAGUCCACGCCGUAAACGAUGGAUGCUCGGUGUUGCACCGCUUCAGGUGCAGUGCCUAAGCUAACGCGUUAAGCAUCCCACCUGGGGAGUACGAUCGCAAGGUUGAAACUCAAAGGAAUUGACGGGGGCCCGCACAAGCGGUGGAGCAUGUGGAUUAAUUCGAUGCAACGCGAAGAACCUUACCCAGGCUCGAACGCUGCCGGACAGGCCCUGAAAGGGGCCCUCCUUCGGGCUGGUAGCGAGGUGCUGCAUGGCUGUCGUCAGUUCGUGUCGUGAGAUGUUGGGUUAAGUCCCGCAACGAACGCAACCCCUAUCGUUAGUUACCAGCGGGUCAUGCCGGGACUCUAGCGAGACUGCCUGCGCAAGCAGUGAGG
rnacentral:rRNA from 1 species